rnacentral:rRNA from 1 species
AUUGAACGCUGGCGGCAGGCUUAACACAUGCAAGUCGAGCGGGGUGAUGGUGCUUGCACUAUCACUUAGCGGCGGACGGGUGAGUAAUGCUUAGGAGUCUGCCUAUUAGUGGGGGACAACAUCUCGAAAGGGAUGCUAAUACCGCAUACGUCCUACGGGAGAAAGCAGGGGAUCACUUGUGACCUUGCGCUAAUAGAUGAGCCUAAGUCGGAUUAGCUAGUUGGUGGGGUAAAGGCCUACCCAGGCGACGAUCUGUAGCGGGUCUGAGAGGAUGGACCGCCACACUGGGAAUGAGACAGGGCCAGCCUCCUACGGGAGGCAGCAGUGGGGAAGUUUGGACAAUGGGGGUAACCCUGUUCCAGCCAUGCCGCGUGUGUGAAGAAGGCCUUAUGUUUGUAAAGCACUUUAAGCGAGGAGGAGGCUCUUUUGGUUAAUACCCAAGAUGAGUGGACGUUACUCGCAGAAUAAGCACCGGCUAACUCUGUGCCAGCAGCCGCCGUAA